rnacentral:tRNA from 1 species
AACUAAUGAGCUUGAAUAAGCAUAUAUUUUGAAAAUAUAAGAUAGACCUUUCUAUUAGUUU